GGGUUAGGUUUAAAAUACAAAAUGAUAACAAAAAUUAUAUUCCAAAAUAAAUAUCUAGAAUAAUGAUAAAAGUUGAAUAUAUAUCUUCAAGGUCAUGUUGGUAAGUCAUGAGAGGCACUUGCAGCUGAGAUGAGGACAUUUCCUGUAGUACCCUAGAAUUAAGGAAUGGAUUAGCAAAACCCUAAUUAGAUAAUUAUGAAUAAUUGAGGAAUUAUAUUAUUAUAUAAUUCAGUAUAUGUGAAUUAAUUUGAUUAAUUAUAUGUUAAGACCCUGUUGGUGAGCCAGGGGCAUUUUAGUAAUUAUGACCCGAGAAGGGUAAAAUGAUGAAAUUAAUUUAAUUACGUGCUUAAUGGAACUAUAUUAUCAUGUAGUAUGACUGUGUUGUCUUUUCAGGGGUGUUCUGACAGGUUGGCGCGGUAUAGUCACAACCGGGUAUUUCGGGCCGAACCGGGUUCGGGCCCGAAAUAUAAAUUGGAUUGAUUUAUUUGGCAUUAUUAUUUAUGGGUGAUAAUCUGAAUUUUUAUUUGAAAAUAAUUGAGUAUGAAUUCACUAGAAUGCCCUUGUAUGUGUGAAUAGGUGAAAAUUGGCCUUAGGGGCAAAAUGGUCUUUUGACCUUAUUUGAUUUACUUUAAUAAAAGCUGAAUUUUGAGGAAAUGAAAUUAGAAAUUCUGGGUUCUCUCUCUCUCCUUAACCCGACCCCCUCUUCCUCUCUCUUUAUCAUCUUCAAUAUUUUACAACUUUGAAAUUAAGGCUUGGAUUGGAGAAAAGUUAAGGAGUUUGGGUGAUUUUGGUGCUUGGAGCUUAGAAAUUUGUGGAUUACCGGCACCUGAUCAGGAGCACCCAGGGGUUUGGAAUCUCUGUUAUUGCGGGACAACAGGAAAGGGUAAGUCAGUGGCUGAUCAACCAUGAGUUUGAGGAGCAAAACGAAGAAUGUACAUGUUCAAGCCAUAUCAGACCAAGCGGGUUAAGGGUCUAUCAGUGUUGAACUUUUGAAUUCUGUUUUGCCGCUUAGGUCGGCUAGAAAGAAAAGACUUGUAAUAAGUUUGUAAUUAUUUUUGGGAUCCCAACUAUUUUGAAAAGUUUAAAUAUAUUAAAA